rnacentral:rRNA from 1 species
AUUGAACGCUGGCGGAAUGCUUUACACAUGCAAAUCGAACGGCAGCACGGACUUCGGUCUCGUGGCGAGUGGCGAACGGGUGAGUAAUGUAUCGGAACGUGCCCAGUCGUGGGGGAUAACGUAGUGAAAAUUACGCUAAUACCGCAUACGAUCUAUGGAUGAAAGCGGGGGAUCGCAAGACCUCGCGCGAUUGGAGCGGCCGAUAUCAGAUUAGGUAGUUGGUGGGGUAAAGGCCCACCAAGCCAACGAUCUGUAGCUGGUCUGAGAGGACGACCAGCCACACUGGAACUGAGACACGGUCCAGACUCCUACGGGAGGCAGCAGUGGGGAAUUUUGGACAAUGGGCGAAAGCCUGAUCCAGCCAUUCCGCGUGCAGGAUGAAGGCCCUCGGGUUGUAAACUGCUUUUGUACAGAACGAAAAGGUUUCUACUAAUACUAGGAGCUCAUGACGGUACUGUAAGAAUAAGCACCGGCUAACUACGUGCCAGCCGCCGCAGUAA